rnacentral:lncRNA from 1 species
CAAAAUCUUUUAUUUUUGAACUUUUUACUGUUCACUUUUAUUCUUAUUCUAAUGAAACAUCAGCAUUCUUAAAAUCUUAACACAACAGUUUCAAUAGAACCAUAAUAACAUGCAUUCACUUCAUGAGAUAAGAAUAGCGUAUUUAAAUUUGCAGUCAUCAAGUAAAAAUUAUGUCAGCAAAUCUUCACACUCAAAACUGCUAUCUCAAUUCUAAUGCAACUGAAAGAAGACACCGUAUGUUUUAAAAUCAUAACUUGACCUAUGUGCUAGCCUUUUUUAAUUUCAGAUAAUCAAUCAUGAAACUGAUGUCCUGAAAUCGUGGUAUUAUCCAAUCAAAAUGAAUGUUACAAACAGUGUUGCAUUAGAAUUUUGUUCACACUAACAGAUAUAAUACACCUGUCCACUUACACUCACUAACACAUAUAAAAGUACUCAAAACAAUUACCUCUUUAUAGUAUAUCCUCAUCAAUCUUUAUAUAUACCUAUAUACAUUGUACAUAUCCUCAUCAAUCCUUAUAUAUAUCUAUAUACAUUGUACAUACAAUACAUGAAUGCUUCAUAAGCUUUCACAAGAUGAGUCCAGCUCAACACAACUUACAUAAGUUAACAUAUUCAUAUUCAUAAAAAUUAUAAAGACCAGUAGCCACUUUCACAAAAAAUCUUAAGUGUAAAAAUUAAUCUUAUUGAUAAAAAUAUUAAGUUGAAUUGUUCAGGAAUAUUUGAGACUUACGAAAAAUUUUACACUUUAAGAUUUUUUGUGAAAAGGGCUACAGUAUAUUUGAUAAGCCUUAGACAUAACACAUCAGGGUAUUAAUAAUUCAUGGGGUGUAGUUGGUUCAGGGUAAAGUUUAAUAAUAAUAUCACCAUAACAUAGGUCCUGAAUUUAUGUGAACUGAAAAAUAUAUUUUAUUUGAAAUUCAGUAUUAACAACAUUUUUAUAAUUAUCUGAAAUUAAACUUUUUGGAAGAACUGAAAUAUAUUGGGGAAGAAUAUUAUUAGUCUGAAACAGAGGCAAGCGAUUCAUCUUACAUUUGAUAAGCAUACUCUUUCUUUCAAUAUCAAUAUCAAUUUUAAGAAAAAGUGUUCUCAAAACAAGUUCAACUGCAGAUAAUUAGCGACUAUACACAAAGAGAAUUCAAAAUAUAAAUCAAUUGAUAACAAAAAUCUCCAUGUACAUUGGAAAAAGACAAUCA